rnacentral:rRNA from 1 species
AACGAACGCUGGCGGCAUGCCUAACACAUGCAAGUCGAACGAGACCUUCGGGUCUAGUGGCGCACGGGUGCUUAACGCGUGGGAACCUGCCCUUAGGUUCGGAAUAACUCCCCGAAAGGGGUGCUAAUACCGGAUAAUGUCUUCGGACCAAAGAUUUAUCGCCUUUGGAUGGGCCCGCGUUGGAUUAGCUAGUUGGUAGGGUAAAAGCCUACCAAGGCGACGAUCCAUAGCUGGUCUGAGAGGAUGAUCAGCCACACUGGGACUGAGACACGGCCCAGACUCCUAUGGGCGGCAGCAGUGGGGAAUACUGGACAAUGGGCGACAGACUGAUAAAGCAAUGCCGCGUGAGUGAUGAACGACUUAGGGUUGUAAAGCUCUUUUACCCGGGAUGAUAAUGACCGUACCGGGAGAAUAAGAUCCGGCUAACUCCGUG